ensembl:lncRNA
UGUGGCCGCAGAUCCAGAUGUGGAGCCCCUCAGAAUGACCCAAAAGGUCCCAGAAACUCCAGAUGUGGCCGCAGAUCCAGAUGUUGCCGGCCCCAAAAUCCGGUGCCGGGUGGAGAGUGACACAGACGUGGAGGAGGAUCCAGAUGUGGAGCCCCCAAAAAGGCUCAAAAUGACCCAAAAGGUCCCAGGAACUCCAGAUGUGGCCACAGAUCCAGAUGUGGAGCCCCCAAAAAGGCUGAAAAUUACCCAAAACAUCCCAGGAACUCCAGAUGUGGCCGCAGAUCCAGAUGUGGAGCUCCUCAAAAUGACCCAAAACCUCCCAGAAAUUCCAGAUGUGGCUACAAAGCCAAAUCCAGAUGUUGCCGGCCCCAAAAUCAGGUGCCAGGUGGAGAGCGACACGGAUGUGGAGGAGGAUCCAGAUGUGGCCGCAGAUCCAGAUGUGGAGCCCCCAAAAAGGCUCAAAAUGACCCAAAACCUCCCAGGAACUCCAGAUGUGGCCACAGAUCCAGAUGUUGCCAGCCCCAAAAUCCGGUGCCGGGUGGAGAGCGACACAGACGUGGAGGAGGAUCCAGAUGUGGAGCCCCCAAAAAGGCCCGGAACGCCCCAAAACGCGGCCGGGGAUCCAGAUGUGGCCGUCCCCGAGACAGAUGUGGAGGAGGAGGAGGAGGAGGAUCCAGAUGUUCGCCCCCCCAAGAGGCGGCGGAUGGCCCCGGGGCUGCCCGGGGCUCCAGAUGUGGCGGCGGGAGGGGAGGGGUGGGAUCCAGAUGUGGCCACCCAGCUGUUCCUGCCGCCCCCAAUUCCAGAUGUGGAGGGGGAGGAGGAACCCCCCGGAAUUCCAGAUGUGGAGGAGGAGUCGGAUCCAGAUGUGGAGGAGGGGUCAGAGUCGGAUCCAGAUGUGGAGGAGGGGUCAGAGUCGGAUCCAGAUGUGCCCACCCAGCCCUUCCUGCCCUCCCCAGAUGUUGGGAGCCCGGAAAGCCCCGGGAGGGCCCCGGGAGGCCCCGGCCUUCC